CUGAGGGACCACUCGCAGGCAGUCAAGUCUUGAAGAUUUGUCUUUUGUUUAUCACUCUAGAGAAAGUUACACUGGUGCCGUGACUCCGUGAUCCCUGAUCAGCUUGAUGCUGUUCGCCCGGGUUGCUGUCAUCUACAAGCUACCUCUUUACUACAAGACAUAUCAACUCACCUGGACCACAAGUGUUUCCUUGUGACGCCUUGAAAUUCCCCUGUGAAGUCUGAGUCCAAGCUUUCUGGGAUUUCUCCCCUCAUGACACUAUGGAUUGUUACCCACUGGUUGCCCGAGUCCCUUCUUCGCCUCAGCAGAUCUUCAAUAAGCCUUUCCUGGAUUUCCAGCGGGCAGUCAAUUCGCUCCUCGCUCCUCCACACCUGAACUUACCUGUCCGUCUUCCACCACAGCUUCUACAUCUACCUGUCAAGACCUCACUCUGUCAAGACCUCACUCUGUCAAGAACUCAUGCUGGAACCCGGAUCACUUCAAGGACACCCACAAAGAGACCAUGCCCCAGAAACCAUGGUAUUCUCCUCUGGCGGAAGUUUAUCUUCAUCUCAAAAUACAGACGGCCCUGGUUGCCAACCCCAAGGACAUGAACUACACAAUCUUACUUUUCGUCAUUGUUAUCUGAUCAUUUGUUCUCCUGAUGUUGUUCUGUAUGUGGGUAAAGAAACUAGGACCCAUCAUGACAUCAUUACUAUAAUUAGUCAAAACAGUAGGUGUCAUAAAGGAGACUGAAGAGGUGCAAAGUGGAUUAAUCAUUUUCUCUGUGAAUGUAUAACUUAUGUUGAUUAUUAGCAUUAACAUAUCGACAUGCUGGUCACGUUCUAAUUUUAAGUAUAGCUAUUGUCAUUACUAUAAUUAUGAUUUUUCAUUAGCCUGACUUUUUUUUGUUUUAUUAUUUAUUUUUUGGUGCCGACAACAACAAAAAACAUUAUGGUAUGCAAUGUCAAGUUUUGAUUGUACCUUUUAUUCUUAAUAACUUGGCAUUAGUGUUGUUGGGUUGUUUCUGACUGUUGACAAUCGUUCACUGGUGAAAGGCACCAGCCCUCCAUGACCCUGGUAAAGAUUAGAAGAGUGAAGAAAAUAAAAAAAGGCAAUUUCAAUUUUAGACGGAGCUUGUUUCAGAUUGAUUUGAUCUGAAGUUGGAGGAGGAAGUGGGUUGGUUAUUAACAGAUUAUAUCUCUGAAAUAAUAAAGACUGAUAUCAAA